ensembl:lncRNA
UCCCAGGCUAGGGGUCCAAUUGGAGCUGUAGCCACUGGCCUACGCCAGAGCCACAGCAACGCGGGAUCCGAGCCGUGUCUGCGACCUACACCACAGCUCACGGCAACGCCAGAUCGUUAACCCACUGAGCAAGGGCAGGGAUCGAACCCGCAACCUCAUGGUUCCUAGUCGGAUUCGUUAACCACUGCGCCACGACGGGAACUCUGCAACCUUUCUUUUUGAUCCUCAUUUAGCCAACACAUCUCUCAUGGCUCUCGAACUCUUUAUGGGUUACUAAUGAUCACAAUCAUAGUUAUAUAACUGAAAUAUUUCAGGUUGCCCUCUCCCUUGAGACAGUCAGCUCCAUGGGGGUAGGGAUUGUUGUCCUGCUCAUUGCUGUAACUCCACACCUGGCAGAAUACCAUCCACCUAGUGGGUACUCUCUCUGUUGAAUGAAUGAAUGGCUUCUCCUGAGUGGGUGACUUACCCUGUGGUAUUUGUUUUGUUUUACCUCUACAAAUUCCUUUAUCUUCUUCCCAGAAUUGAUUCAGUGUUCUCUUGGAUGGAGAGGCCUGAGACAAUUCCUUCAGGACUUAUCCCUCUCCGGAGGAGUGAACUGGGAAGGGUUUUGGGAACUUGUCAACACAGAGCCACUGAGGUCUUAUUCCCAUUGUGACAAUUCUUAUGGGGAGCCACCUUUGAGAUCAUCUAGAACCACCUCUCUUACUACCACAUACCCGACUCUGGCGGAUAGUUGCACUGGUUUGUUGCCACUGGUCUUCAGUGAGCCACAGAGGAGCAAGGUUAAGCUGAGGUAAUACUCUUAAGAUACUUUUCAAGUGUCACCUCUGCGCAUACUGGCUUGUGAUUACUGCACACCCGCUGAGAUGCUGGCGCUGGCACUCAAGUGCCAGGAUCACAUCUUGACUCAGGAGCAGUGCAGAAGUAAGUUUAGAUUGAGUUUUUGCAUUAGCACAUAUGGAGGUACCCUGCCUCUUGUUAAGAGUUGGUUUGUGACUUUAGUUUUCUUCAGAAAAUGACCACGGCAUAUGGAGGUUCCCAGACUAAGGGUCUAAUCGGAGCUGUAGCCGCCAGCCUACUCCAGAGCCACAGCAAAUUGGGAUCUGAGCCACGUCUGUGACCUACAACAUAGCUCCCAGCAACGUCGGAUCCUUAACCCAUUGAGCCACGACGGGAACUCCCUGAGUUCACUGUUAAUUUCUGGGAAUGUGCAUGGAGAUACCUCUAUUUUUUUCUCUCUCAACUUGAGUGUCCAGCCCAUUUUGUUACUAUUUGGUUUAAGUUCAAUCAUAAUUUCCUUAAAUCUCGAUUGGAUAGCCUGUACUUUUAAAAUUUUUUUUGUCUUUUGUCUUUCCUACGGCUGUACCCAUGGCAUAGGGAGCGGCCCAAGAAAUAGCAAUAGCAACAACAACAAAAAAAAGACAAAAGACAAAAAAAAAAAAAAAAGUGUUUUGAUAAUUAUUAUAGACUAUUAAAACAUUCAUUGUUGUUGAAAAUCAUACCGUGACCUAAAAACGGGAAGGGGUAGGUUCCUACCAAUGAGGGUAGGCAGUGGCUCAUGUACCUACACAAAUGCACUGAGCAGACCUACUCUAAGUUUUAAGGACCAUUUUAAAUUACUCAAUAAUAGUAUAUCUUACUGGAGAAAGAUCACAUUCAUUCUGAAAAACAACAUUGCUUUUAAAGAAUGUCAAUAGCUUACCAGUGAUUCUUUUAACUUUUUUUUUUUUUUUUGGCCAUGCUCAUGGCCAUAGAUCGAACCUGUGCCACAGCAGUGACAACACUGGAUCCUUAACCUGCUGCACCACAAGGGAACUCCUGCUAUAACAUUUUGUCUUCGUCUCCAUAACCAGUAUCAAGAAUUGUCAUAACCAGUGUCAGAGAUUGUGUAAG